GAUGAACGCUGGCGGCGUGCUUAACACAUGCAAGUCGAACGAUGAAGCCCAGCUUGCUGGGUGGAUUAGUGGCGAACGGGUGAGUAACACGUGAGUAACCUGCCCUUAACUCUGGGAUAAGCCUGGGAAACUGGGUCUAAUACCGGAUAGGAGCGUCCACCGCAUGGUGGGUGUUGGAAAGAUUUAUCGGUUUUGGAUGGACUCGCGGCCUAUCAGCUUGUUGGUGAGGUAAUGGCUCACCAAGGCGACGACGGGUAGCCGGCCUGAGAGGGUGACCGGCCACACUGGGACUGAGACACGGCCCAGACUCCUACGGGAGGCAGCAGUGGGGAAUAUUGCACAAUGGGCGCAAGCCUGAUGCAGCGACGCCGCGUGAGGGAUGACGGCCUUCGGGUUGUAAACCUCUUUCAGUAGGGAAGAAGCGAAAGUGACGGUACCUGCAGAGGAAGCACCGGCUAACUACGUG
rnacentral:rRNA from 1 species